rnacentral:lncRNA from 1 species
UUUUAAAAAAAAACUACGGAUCUAGAUAUCCUUUUCUCUCUAGUGUCCGAAUCCGGCCUAAAAAAUUUCAAAAUCCGAACGUACACGCCUAGAUCUACAAAUACAUAUCCGUAACAAACUUUUUGACACCUUUUUUACACUACAUAUGCGCGCGAAAACGAAGAAAAAGAGGAGAGAAAUGCGUUACCUCUGUCGUGAAACGGAGAAAAAUCUUCGGAAAAACUUCGAAUCCUCCUCUUCUCUUUCGCGCGCGCGCUAUACCCUCCGUUGGUGUUGUUUUUGCUCGAAAAUCCGGUACGUUUUGGUGUUGAUGUGGUGAUUCGCGGUGGUUUUGAGUGAAUCCGGUUCGGAUUUGUUGAUUUUGUGGUGGUUGGAGCUGAUUCUGAGCAGAUCCGGUUUAGAUCUGUUGAUUUUGGUGAUGAGGUGUUCUUGGUGUUCUUCCUCUUUUUCUGAGUUUUUUUCUGUUUUGAUUCUGUUAUGGAUGAGAGAGAGAAAAAGAUUCUGUUUGAGAGUGAUUGUGAUUGAUUCUGAUUUUUCUGACUGAUUGUGAUGGAUCUGACACAUUUACUAUUUAUAGCCUGCCAUGUGUAUCUGAGAACCAAUGAAAAAAUGACAUCUGGACCGUUUUGGACUUAUGGACUAAUCUGCAAAAAAGUUAAUAUGAGGACUAAUCUGCAAAAUAAGAAAAAGGACUAAAAAUGCAAUUUUAAAAAGUAUUGGACUAAAAUGCAAGUUAAAAUAAAAUUGGAUAAAAAUUGGUAAUUUGAAAAAAACGUAAAGUGAAACAAAAAAUAAAAUCAACAAAAGGACUAAAACGAACCAAUUACCGACAUGAGGUAUUUUAAAAUACCUCCCUGUCGAAAUUUUGACAGGAAAAGACCAAAAUGCCCCUAGGGACUAAACUGACCCAAACUGACUCAAAUGUAAUUUUGAGAUGAUUUUAAAAA